ensembl:lncRNA
GAAAUGCAAACCUACCACUUUAAAGAUCGCCUGCCUGAGGACUAGACGGCUAACCUUCUGUGAACCUUGAGAAUUCUACUGGAAAGCAAGCUACCUUCCACCUAUCUGGGUGAGCCAAAAUGUUCCUUGAAAAAUAUUUUGAGAUUUAGGCUUCUUUCCACAGAUGGGACCUUUCGGAUAAAACUUGAAGACACUGAACUCAGUGGCGUCCGGCUACUCAUCUUUGCAUGGGUGAUUCCUAGAGCAGUAUUGUGCCGAUCAUAGGCGUUCAGCCCAGGGUGGCUGGACAAAGGAAACUGUCAACAAGAAAUAAUGAGGCUACUGCUCAUCAGCUUUUGGGUAGUUGGUCCUAUGACUGAAGGCCCCUUCUGCUCUACGACGAAGACUGGCAAAACUCGCCUCAGCCCCCAGAGCAAGGCUAACCUAUCCACUCUACUCAUCACAGAUCACCCUUCUCUCUGAUAUCUAAAAGGCGCUUUCUGCUUGUCACUUACUGUGGGAUAGUCAUUACUUCUAAUGUAUCGGACUGUGUACCCUCGUCUUAGGUUUUCUGUUGUUUCUA